GACGAACGCUGGCGGCGUGCUUAACACAUGCAAGUCGAACGGAAAGGCCCCUUUGGGGGUACUCGAGUGGCGAACGGGUGAGUAACACGUGAGUAACCUGCCCUUGACUUCGGGAUAACUUCAGGAAACUGGGGCUAAUACCGGAUAGGAAUCCUUGCUGCAUGGUGGGGGUUGGAAAGCUUCGGCGGUUUUGGAUGGACUCGCGGCUUAUCAGCUUGUUGGUGGGGUAGUGGCUUACCAAGGCUUUGACGGGUAGCCGGCCUGAGAGGGCGACCGGCCACAUUGGGACUGAGAUACGGCCCAGACUCCUACGGGAGGCAGCAGUGGGGAAUAUUGCACAAUGGGCGGAAGCCUGAUGCAGCAACGCUGCGUGCGGGAUGACGGCCUUCGGGUUGUAAACCGCUUUCAGCAGGGGCGAAGCUUGUGGUGACGGUACCUGCAGAAGAAGCACCGGCUAACUACGUG
rnacentral:rRNA from 1 species